GGGCCUACUAGGCCCUGCCUUCUUCUCGCUACUUGGAUCACUAGUCACCACUCGCUAGAACUAGAUGCGUGAAAAAUGAAAAUGUUGAAGAAAUUAGCAUAUAAUAAUAUCGACCCUUCUAGUUCUAGGGCCAACGUUAAAAGGCACUUUCCCUCCCAAGAUCCUCAAGUGUGGUGUGGGUAUUAGCAAUGAUGAGGAUCGAAGUCGUACGCGAUGUGAUUCAGUAAACCACUGGAAAAUCUUUUUCCGGACGGACCUUGAAUACUACUGUUGGUAUUCUUGCACAAAAGAAAUGGAGGGUCACAUCUUGAAGGCUGGCUCUGCCGGUCCGGUCCGAUCGGAGAAGGCAAAACCAUGUGGAUUUUUUGUGCCCAUGAUUAGAGAGUAAUUGAAGUGCCAGGACAUCAUCAACCGGCAAAGCCUUCCAUUCUGCUCAGCAAUCCUUGGGUUACAGGUUACUCACUCAUACUUCCACAAUGCAUUUGUCGCAGGACCAAUUAAUUACUGUAGGAUAGGAGCAGGAGAUGGGAUUCAUUUUCAACAGCCUGUAUCCAUUCCAGUAUCCGUUUCAAAGUUUCGUUCCGUCUUUCUUAAGACUGUGCCGUCUAAUGUUGGCUAUUAAAUGCAUUGCUGGUCAUCAUCUCUCUUGCUACACAUUACCUAAUCUUCUCCCAGUUUGGUUAAAUGGGACCGGGCCAAUCCCACCUUUUUUUAUCCCUCUGGUCAAGGUAACAAAUUGGGCCUCUCUGCUCUGGGACCAUUGGCUCAACCACCAAAAACCCACCUGCAUUUUAAUUUAUCUGCAUUUUCCUCGUAGCCAACUUGAAAUAUUUGCAAGAGAGAUAGAUGGUCAACUAGCUGGUGAAGACAUCUGAAAUGAAAAGUUCCUAAUAUCACAGAUCAUCUGCUUUUGAUUUUCAUGAUAGGUGUUAACAAACUCCUGGAGCACAUGCACCGCUUGACUCAAUUGACGCCCGGAGAGUGAUUAAUCACGUACCCAGAAGCAAAAGUCGAAUACCUUCAAGCUGUACCAUUUGCUGACCAGAAAAGAAGAAACUCUUACAUAACAAUAAAGAGUAACAAGACAUUCUUCCCCUGAAAAUUUUCUUGCUAUAAAAUGUAACUCCCCAGUGUUUUUUGUGUCCUGGAUCGCCAUUCAACAUGGCCUUCUUGGCAUGCUUAAAACAGUUAGCGACAAAAAUGUGGAUGGGAGGAUAGACGAGCUUCAACAGAUAGGGUAUUAUCCGCCGGCCGAUGGCAGGGAAGGAAGAGGGUCCAACCAAUGCACUUUACGCCAUUUUGGACCACUAAGGCCUAGUGAUGCAAAAGUACAAUUAGCAACUUCCCACCACGAAGAAGGCUUUUAAACUAGUAGUAAUUAGCAUUCUGUCAUUAUCAGUAUCAUUAAACACGGAUAUCAUUGAGCCUUGUGUCUGAUAAUUACGUGCUGAAAGCUAGCUGGAGAGGUCAUUUGAGCUAAUAGAUUGAACAAACAUUUUGGUUCUGAAAUUUCGGUUGAAGAGAUCAGGAUAACACAUCAGCCAUCUGAUUCUUAUUCAUCUCCUGUAUUGUAGGUUACACAGCAAUCAUGUUUUUUGUCAUUAGCUGGUGAUCAUCUUCUUGGCCUUCAUGAAUAUUAUUGAUCAGCAAUUAUUUCCAUGAAAUUGUUGCGUACAGGGAAAUGGAUCUUAUCAUCCUAGUCAUAAAUGAAAGGCCCUUCUUUUUUUC